rnacentral:lncRNA from 1 species
GCAUAUUUUUUUCUCAUUUUCAAUCAAGUUAUUUCACUGCUUAACAGCACAGUCCAAUUGGCAAAAGAUGUAAAACAUAGAAGCGUCCAUGAAAAUUUACUAUUUUCUGCAUAUAUGUAAACUUACAAAUAUUGAUUGAUGAAGCAAUAUAUAUAUAUACAAAAUGAUCAAAGUUGCAUAACCUAUUUACAGUAUUAUUGGAAAGGCAAUAUAAUGGACGGAAUUGAUGAUUCACAGGAUAGCAAAAAAUUAUGAAUACUCUCAUAUUAUCAGAUUCGCCUGAUGUCCUCUUUGGGGACAGUAAUAUGGGCGGAAUGAAUGGAAUACAUGUAUGAUGGUAUUGAUAAUUUCUGAGGUUUUAAUUAACUUUUUGUGUAGACCUUGGUGAUUGUAAAUGAUUUCAAAUUUGCGGAAUAAAUCCAAUUCAAUUUCAAUUCAAUCAAACUUGGGAAUAAUACUCUUAUACAUGUAUCUGACUUUUAACAAAAUGAUGUACACAUUUUUCCUACAUAAAUACUUUCCAUAUAUAUUUUUGAAGCACAUCUAAUAUAAAUUGUAUGUGACAGCAUAACACGAUGUACAUAAAAUGUAUAGCACAAGACUUUCUUAUAUUCAAACUUGAUAAUUGCAAAUUCUAGUUCCCAUUUCAUAGGCCUAUUCUAAACAUUAUACAUGUAUACAUCAUCAUUUUUUAUCCAAAUUCAUUCCGUUCUGCUAUCAAUAAACAUAUAUCAAUUCUAAACUCAUCACUGAAUGAUGUACUGUAUGAAGAUUGAUAAUAAAUUUAAAAUAAAUUUGUGAAACAUAUAUAUGUACUGAAAUAUCAUUUGCAUAUCAAAACAGUUGUGUUGCAUAGUUAACAUUUAGCUGCUCAUUACAUUAUCAUUAUUCACAAAUCCAAAAUAGCACAAACUGCAAAUAAAACAUGCACAUGCAUUAUCUACCUAAUACGGUAACAAUAUAAACCAGUAAUAAAAAUAUAGCAUGUAGUUUUACUUUAAAAAAAAAACAAAUAUUACACUGUUAAUUUUUUAUUAAUUAAAAUGAUAAAUCUUAGCACAAUUAGUAUUAUUAUUGUUAAAUUUGUUAAUAUGAAGUUUAUGCCUUAACAGCAAGUUACAUCUCAAAUUCUGAUAUAUCUUUGCAGUGUUAAUAAAAAUAUAUGCAUAUAAUUAUGGUGUAUGUAAAUGAAACAAAGGAGAACCUACAUGUACAUCGAACAUAUAUAUAGCUCUUCAAUAUUUAUUAUCAUUUAUCAAUACUCAUGUGAACGAGUACAUUAUUUAAUAAACUAAUACACUGGUAACACAGUAGGCCUAAUCUAAAUACAUUCAGAUGUAUGUGGAAUAAUUUUUCAGUUAUUACUGUAAUAAGACUUUUCUUGUUAUCCAGCAAAAAUGAGAAGUGAUCUGUCAUUUCACCUCUGAACAUACUUUUUUUUAAAUCAGCUUGAAUUUGUAGUGCAUGUGGCAACUUACACAAAGAAGAAUUUAAAUUUCUUGCCAGUUUAGAUGGUCCAUACCACAAUUUUCUAUUCAUCACACAUAAAAAACAAAAACAAAAUAAAAACAAUACUCAGUUGAAAACUGCCUCAACAGUCCUGCUACUAUGUAAAUUCAUAAUGCAUAUGUAUAUGCAUAUUUGUAUGCUCUGACUAUCACGUAAAAUGUACAGCACACUUUGAUUUGAAACAAAGCACAGCCCACUUAAUUGCACAAUUAUCAACUCGUUCACUGAAAUGAUCUUUUUAAUUGCAUAAAACCAGAUAUUUUUUAAGUAUUCUGUGCACAAAAAUGUAUGAAACAAACAUGUACAAAAUCACCAUUACCGGUAUAUGAAUUGUGAUAUUGGAUGUGCU